GGAUUAGAUACCCUGGUAGUCCACGCCGUAAACGAUGCACACUAGGUGUCGGAGAUUCUGAAUCAUCGGCGCCGCAGGAAAACUACUAAGUGUGCCGCCUGGGGAGUACGGCCGCAAGGCUAAAACUCAAAGGAAUUGACGGGGGCUCACACAAGCGGUGGAGCAUGUGGCUUAAUUCGAAGCAACGCGAAGAACCUUACCCAGGUUUGACAUGCUUGGAUGUGCUCCGUGGAGAACUCGGAGUCACUGCCCUUCGGGGUGAAACUUGCACAGGUGUUGCAUGGCUGUCGUCAGCUCGUGCCG
rnacentral:rRNA from 1 species